rnacentral:rRNA from 1 species
AGCCCGCGGCUUAUCAGCUUGAUGGUGGGGUAACGGCUUACCAAGGCGACGACGGGUAGCCGGCCUGAGAGGGCGACCGGCCACACUGGGACUGAGACACGGCCCAGACUCCUACGGGAGGCAGCAGUGGGGAAUAUUGCAACAAUGGGCGAAAAGCCUGAUGCAGCGACGCCGCGUGAGGGAUGAUGGGCCUUCGGGUUGUAAACCUCUUUUCAGCAGGGAUGAAGCGAAAGUGACGGUACCUGCAGAAGAAGCACCGGCUAACUACGUGCCAGCAGCCGCGGUAAUACGUAGGGCGCAAGCGUUGUCCGGAAUUAUUGGGCGUAAAGAGCUCGUAGGCGGCUUGUCGCGUCUGCUGUGAAAACUCGGGGCUCAACUCCGGGCGUGCAGUGGAUACGGGCAGACUAGAGUGUGGUAGGGGAGACUGGAAUUCCUGGUGUAGCGGUGAAAUGCGCAGAUAUCAGGAGGAACCCCCCGCCGCACCCCGCGCCCG